GGGGAUUUAGCUCAAUGGUAGAGCGCUUGCCUAGCAAGCACAAGGCCCUGGGUUCGGUCCCCAGCUCCCA
rnacentral:tRNA from 1 species